rnacentral:ncRNA from 1 species
CUAGCAGAGGGCCAGUCUGGUGCCAGCAGCUGCGGUAAUUCCAGCUCUGCGAGUUUGCUCCCCAUAUGUGCCAGUUAAAACGCCCGUAGUCUGAAUUGCCCAGCAAUGGUCGUACGUAUUUUUACGUUCACUGUGAACAAAUCAGGACGCUUAGAGUAUGGCCACAUGAAUGACUCAGCGCAGUAUGAAGUCUUUGUUUUCUUCCGAAAACAAGCUCAAUGAGAGCCAUCGGGGGUAGAUCUAUCUCAUGACGAGUGGUGGAAUACUUUGACUCAUGAGAGAGAAGCUGAGGCGAAGGCGUCUACCUAGAGGGUUUCUGUCGAUCAAGGGCGAGAGUAGGAGUAUCCAACAGGAUUAGAGACCCUGGUAGUUCCUACCUUAAACGAUGCCGACAGGAGUUUGUCAUUUGUUAAUGGCAGAAUCUUUGGAGAAAUCAUAGUUCUUGGGCUCUGGGGGAACUACGACCGCAAGGCUGAAACUUGAAGGAAUUGACGGAAGGGCACACCAGGGGUGGAGCCUGUGGCUUAAUUUGAAUCAACACGGGGAAACUUACCAGGACCAGAUGUUUUUUAUGACUGACAGGCUUCGGGUCUUUCAGGAUAUUGUUUUUGGUGGUGCAUGGCCGUUGGUGGUGCGUGGGUUGACCUGUCUAGCGUUGAUUCAGCUAACGAGCGAGAUUAUCGCCAAUUAUUUACUUUGCCGAAGUCCUUCGGUUAAAGUUCUAAUUGGGACUCCCUGCGAUUUUAGCAGGUGGAAGAGGGUAGCAAUAACAGGUCCGUGAUGCCCUUUAGAUGCUCUGGGCUGCACGCGUGCUACAAUGUUAGGAUCAAUAGGACUGCGAGCCUGAGAGGGUGCGCUACUCUUAUAAUCCCUAACGUAGUUGGGAUUGACGUUUGUAAUCAGCGUCAUGAACCAGGAAUCCCUUGUAAAUGUGUGUCAACAACGCACGUUGAAUACGUCCCUGCCCUUUGUACACACCGCCCGUCGCUCCUACCGAUUGGAUGACUCGGUGAAAUCACCGGAUGCUUACGAGCAGAAAGUGAUUAAAUCACGUUAUCUAGAGGAAGGAGAAGUCGUAACAAGGUAACGGUAGGUGAACCUGCCGUUGGAUCAGUU